rnacentral:rRNA from 1 species
UGUCGGGGUAACGGCCCAACAAGCCAGUAAUCGGUACGGGUUGUGGGAGCAAGAGCCCGGAGUUGGAUUCUGAGACACGAAUCCAGGCCCUACGGGGCGCAGCAGGCGCGAAAACUUUACAAUGCGGGCAACCGUGAUAAGGGAACCUCGAGUGCCUGUAUAUGCAGGCUGUCUGGGUGUCUAAAACACACCUAAAGAAAGGGCCGGGCAAGACCGGUGCCAGCCGCCGCGGUAAUACCGGCGGCUCGAGUGGUGGCCACUUUUAUUGGGCUUAAAGCGUUCGUAGCUGGGUUAUUAAGUCCCUUGGGAAAUCCGACGGCUUAACCGUCGGGCGUCUAAGGGAUACUGGUAAUCUUGGAACCGGGAGAGGUGAGGGGUACUUCGGGGGUAGGAGUGAAAUCCUGUAAUCCUCGAGGGAUCACCUGUGGCGAAGGCGCCUCACCAGAACGGCUUCGACAGUGAGGGACGAAAGCUGGGGGAGCAAACCGGAUUAGAU